GUCAAUCUGCCAUUCAACAGGUUUUCACACGUCAAUUGUUAACAACACCGUCAGUGCCAAUAAAUUUGUUUUCUCAAAAGGUUUAACGGUUCGCCUCAACACGAUAAUUUUAAUUUGGAAGUUGAAGAGCUACCAGAACUAAAAGCAGGAGCCCUUUAUCUCAGCGUAGAUCCUUACACGAGACAGCAUUAGCUGGCCUCUUGGUAAUAAUGACAGUAUUUUAUGGCUCUCCAAUAUAUUUUUACAAGAAUUGCAAAGCACAAA